rnacentral:rRNA from 1 species
AGGAAUGUAUAGGGAAAACUGGUAAAAUGUGAUGUACCUAAUAAUAUUAGUAAUUAAUAUGAAAUUAACAAAGUUAAUUAAAAUUCAAAGUAGACGUGUGAUUAUGACAAUGUUUGCUUAUUUCUUGACUAAGUCACGUGCCAGCAGUCGCGGUAAUACGUGGUAGAUAAGUGUUAUUCAUCUUUAAUAGGUUUAAAGGGUACCUAGACGGUUAAUUAAGCAUACAAGUGUACUAAUUAUUAACUAGAGUUUAAUGUAAGAAGGUUUGAGUACGGUGAGUGUAGAGUUAAAAUUCUGUUAUACCACUUAGGAACUGGUAAAGGCGAAGGCAACCUUCAAUGUAAAAACUGACGUUAAGGGACGAAGGCUUAUAUUAAAAAACAGGAUUAGAGACCCUGGUAUUGUGAGCAGACAAUGAUGAGUGUCAUAUGCAAGAAAAAUUUUUGUGUAUAAAUGAAAGUGUAAGCACUCCACCUCAAGAGUAACGUGGCAACAUGGGAACUGAAAUCAUUAGACCGUUUCUGAAACUCGUAGUGAAGUAUGUUGUUUAAUUUGAUGGUCCUCAAAUAACCUUACCACAAUUUGUAUAACAUAUAACACGUAGUGAAGUAUGUUACAAGCGUUGCACGGCUGUCUUCAGUUAAUGUUGUGAAACUUUGGUUAGAUCCAUUUAA